UUCAGGAACGAAUCCGCUCGGAAGUCAAGCCAAUAGAAAUGGACGAAAUUAUUUUAUUGGACAACUCAAUGAAAACCAUAAGUGCAAGACCUUUUCAAGACAUGGAAAGCUAAGCAUUAACCAUACAUGAGACCUUUGAGUUCCUCUAAGCAUAGGAGCCAUAUGUGAAUGCACAGUUAGCACACCCCUGAAGUCAACUUUGCUGAUAUCAUAGAAUUAUUUUAUAUCCUGGAAUAAGUCAAAUAUGUUUAAGUAGCAAUGCACUCACAGUUUACAAGAGUUAUAUAUUCUGUACAUAUAUUAUAUGCAAUAGGAGGGCUGUUGUAAAAUGAACCUUUGGAGAGCAGUUUGAUAAAACAAAAAAUGAAGUAAACAUUUUUAUUACAUACAAAAUAUAGCUAAAUGUCAAAGCUACUUCUCAACACAAUCACUUUGUAAAUUCAGGCAUCAUAGCAUGGGAUGAGUUUCUGUAUACCCCUCAUCAUACCUGGUUGCUGAGCCAAUCAUUUAGCUCUUCAUUUGUAUGAAAAUGCUGCAUUCCCAGUCAGAUCAUCUGUAAGAAAAAUGAAAAAUUACUGGGCUAUUUGGUGGAUAUAGAAUAAGUCCCAAUGAAACUGCCAAAGGAAGUCUUUUGUGCAAACAGCUGUGUACGGGCAUGCAUUGUCAUGCAGAAACAAUGCCUGAUGUCAGCAUUCCUGUUCAUUUGUUUGAAUGGAUCUAUACAACUUUUUCAAGAUUUCACAGUACGUCUAUGAAUUUCUCUCUCAUGCAGCAACUUCUUCAAUAAGGGGAUGUACCCUUGUCCAUUAUGACAAGCGUUUGAAUUUAUAGGGUGAUUAUGCUGAGAAGUAUCUAAGCAUGCAGCUAACUUUUGUACACAAAAAUAUAAGAAAGAACAAAAUUUUAUUAACUGCUCACCAGAAGUUGAUUUCCAAAGAACUAUUGUAUUGAAAUUUGAAUGAAUAAAUAAUUAUUAUUUGUGGAUCAUUAA